AGAAGACAGAAUGAGCACACGGUGGAUGCCUGGGCGAUACGUGCCGAAGAAGGACGGGGCAUCGCACCGAAAUGCGGCGGGGAGCAGCGAGCAUGCAUUAAUCCGCCGAUGUCCGAAUGGGGCAACCCGCUACAUCUGUAGCACCACCUCUGGUGGGGGGCACCGGGCCAACUGAAACAUCUCACGUAGCCCGAGGAAGAGUGAACAACACCCGUAGUAGUGGCGAACGAACCGGGUGCAGCCCAAACCAACAACGUGUCAAGCUGGUAGGCGUUGCGUUGUUGGGGUUGGAGGACGUCCAAAGCUGGCUACCACCAGCGACACCGGAAUGCAUUGGGAGCCAAAAGCGUUUGGAAUACGCUGCCAGAGACCGUGACAGCCGGGUCGGCAAACCAUGCAGGCGGUGGGACUGUUCCUGAGUAUGACCAGGCACGAAGUACCUGGUCUGAAGCUGGGCCGACCACGGUCCAAGGCAACCUACACGUAUCGACCGAUAGCGCAUAGUACCGUGAGGGAACGGUGAAAAGUACCCCGGCGAGGGGAGUGAAAGAGUACCUGAAACCGUGUGCUUCCAUGCCGUAGGAGGGCGAGUAAGCGCCUGACUGCGUGCCUUUUGGAGUAUGAUCCGGCGAGUUACCCGUCGUGGCAGGUUAAGGCAGUUGCAGCCGGAGCCACAGUGAAAGCGAGCCUGAACAGGGCGUUAGUCGCGGCGGGUAGACCCGAAACCGUGUGAGCUACCCAUGGGCAGGCUGAGGCGUCCCUAACAGGACGUGGAGGGCCGAACCGGUGUCUGUUGCAAAAGGCUCGGAUGACCUGUGGGUAGGGGUGAAAUGCCAAUCGAACACGGAGAUAGCUGGUUCUCCCCGAAAUGCAUUGAGGUGCAGCCAUCGGCUGCGACCCGUUGAGGUAGAGCACUGUUGUUGUGCGGGGGCUUCACCGCUUACCAAGCGACGGCAAACUACGAAUGCGACGGGUCGGCACGAUGAGUGAGACGGCGAGUGCAAACAUCCGUCGUCAAGAGGGAAACAACCCAGAUCUGCUGCUAAGGUCCCCAAGUAACCGCUGAGUGGGAAAGGUUGUGUCGUUGCGCAGACAACCAGGAGGUUGGCUUAGAAGCAGCCACCCUUAAAAGAGUGCGUAACAGCUCACUGGUCAAGUGACGAUGCGCCGAUGCUGUAACGGGGCAAAGCGGUUCACCGAAGCACAGAACGUCAGCACUGACGUGGUAGGGGAGCGUCGCUACAACGUUGAAGCACGAGCGGAAGCCCGUGUGGAGUGGUAGCGAGUGCGAAUGCCGGAAUGAGUAACAGAGAAGUGGGGUGCGAACCCCCACCACCGAAAGCCUAAGGGUUCCGCCGCAAGGGUGAUCCGCGGCGGGUUAGUCGGGCCUAAGGCGUAGGCGCAAGCCGUAGCCGAUGGACAACAGGUAGACAUUCCUGUACCACAGUGGUUCCGUUUGACGAAUGCAGGAGACUGAGGGGCAGGUCGCGCGGUGAGACGAGCACCGUCCAAGCCGGUAGGGAGACUGCGGUCGAAAACCCGUGGUCGUUGACCGAGAGGCGAUAGGGAGGCGGGGCUAACUACCCACGCCAACGCGAUUGCGCCUGUGCAGGCGAGAAAUGCCUGCUACGGAGGAACUAUGUGCCCGUACCGCAAACCGACACAGGUAGGCACGUUGAGGAAACGCAGGUGGACGAGUGAUCCCUGGUUAAGGAACUCGGCAAAUUACUCCCGUACCUUCGGAAGAAGGGAGGCUGCGUCCGUGUGAAGGCUGUACAGCCGGAGCACGGGGCAGUGACACAAACCAGGCCCAGGCGACUGGAUACCAGAACCACAGCUCUCUGCUGAAGCCGCAAGGCGACGUAUAGAGGGUGAUGCCUGCCCAGUGCCGGAAGGUUAAGGGGAGGCGUGCAAGCGCCGAACCGAAGCCCCGGUGAACGGCGGCUGUAACUAUAACAGUCCUAAGGUAGCGAAAUUCCUUGUCGGGUAAGUUCCGACCCGCACGAAAGGCAUCACGAUCUGGGCACUGUCUCGACCAGGGGCUCGGUGAAAUUGCAGGGGCCGUGAAGAUGCGGCCAACGCGUAGCAGGACAAAAAGACCCCGUGGAGCUUUACUACAACUUGCCAUCGGAUAAGUGUAUUGCAUGCGUAGGAUAGGUGGGAGGCUGAGAACUUCGGCUUGCGGGCCGGGGGGAGCCAACGGUGAAAUACCACUCUUGCCUUACACUCAUCCUCACCCGCUGCGGCGGGGACGGUGGCUGGUGGGUAGUUUGACUGGGGCGGUCGCCUCCCAAAAGGUAACGGAGGCGCGCAACGGUGCCCUCAGGUGGGAUGGCAAUCCACCGUGGAGUGUAACGGCAGAAGGGCGCUUGACUGCAAGACCAACACGUCGCGCAGGGACGAAAGUCGGCCGUAGUGAUCCCACAGUACCGCGUGGAAGGGCUGUGGCUUAACGGAUAAAAGCUACCCCGGGGAUAACAGGCUCAGACCUCCCAAGAGUUCAUAUCGACGGAGGAGCGUGGCACCUCGAUGUCGGCUCGUCGCAUCCUGGGGCUGGAGUAGGUCCCAAGGGUUGGGCUGUUCGCCCAUUAAAGCGGCACGCGAGCUGGGUUCAGAACGUCGUGAGACAGUUCGGUCUCUAUCCGCUACGCGCGUUUAGAGCAUUGCAUGGGGCUGACCCUAGUACGAGAGGACCGGGUUGGACGCACCGCUGGUGGAGGAGUUGUGGGGCGGCCCGCAGGCUCCGUAGCUAUGUGCGGAACAGCGAACCGCUGAAAGCAUCUAAGUGGGAAGCUGGCCAUAAGAUGAAUGCUCUCGCUGUCUUGGACAGGUAAGACCCCCGGAAGAUGACCGGGUGGAGCGGCUGCUGCUGGAGGCGCUGUGAGGCGUAGAGGCAAGCAGAGCGCACGGUCGAGGGCUUCUUUG
rnacentral:rRNA from 1 species